UACGUAGGGGGCAAGCGUUGUCCGGAUUUAUUGGGCGUAAAGAGCGUGUAGGCGGCCAAGCAGGUCAGCUGUGAAAACUCGAGGCUCAACCUCGAGACGUCGGUUGAAACCGCUUGGCUAGAGUCCGGAAGAGGAGAGUGGAAUUCCCGGUGUAGCGGUGAAAUGCGCAGAUAUCGGGGAAGAACACCCGUGGCGAAGGCGGCUCUCUGGGACGGUACUGACGCUGAGACGCGAAAAGCGUGGGGGAGCGAACAGG
rnacentral:rRNA from 1 species